rnacentral:lncRNA from 1 species
CGAUAGCAGUAUCAGCUAGGAGGAGCAGAGUGGAGAGUUUCAGGACAAGAUGAAAACUCUUCUCCUACUCGCUGCCAUCGUGGCAGUAACUGCUUGUCUCCCGGUGCCUAAGGACCAGGAACGAGAAAAACGAAGUGCCAGUGACAGUGACAGUGAUGAAUUCCCUUUACGGAUUCCCUUUCCCCCAUACGGGUAUCCAUUUGGUACAUACCCACCAUUCUUAAAUCAAGGCUACCCGUGGUAUUAUUAUUAUUAUUAUUAUUAUCCUUCUUUUCCCCUGCCCUUCACUCCCCCUCCAACACCAGAUCCUUAACUGCAAAUGAAAGAAAAGUCACACUGUGGAUUAUUUAAGGUUGCUUUGAAAUUGAAUAUGAAGCACUUCCUUGAAGGAUCAAUAUUCUUGUUAAGAGAGAAAAAUAAAAGCAAUUGAAAUAGCAUA